rnacentral:lncRNA from 1 species
ACUGAAUCCAAAAUUCUACAUUGAACAUAAGAACAUUACAACCAAAAUGAUACAUUUGUGCAAAUUCCUAAACCUAAAAGCCGUGCUCCUUUGGUUUAUCCUCAAAGCCCUAAAGCCACCUCCAAGCAUGUAGGCUCAAAUCAACAAGAUAAAGGGAUCCAUUAGAAUUUGAUCACAACCACAAUAAUUGAUUGAUUCACUAUACAUCAUAGGUUUCCAAAAGCAACAAAAUGAAAGAAAGCAAGUCAUGACGAUUACAACAUUGCGAAGGAAAACAAACUAAUUUACAUUUCAUUAAGUUUUUCUUAAGGAAAAUGUUUAUCAAAAGAUUUCAUAGUAGUGAAAAAAAUAUAAAGAAGAAUCAUGAGUUGAGUUACCACAAACUACAGUAGUAAAAAAAAAAGAGAAGAAAAAAUUCAUUCACAUUUCAAAUUUUGCACAUGGACCACUCGUGAUUUCCUUCCAUUCCACUCACCAAAAUUCCAGAGAAUCAGGGUUUUUUCACUCCCCAAUGCUCAUUGCAAAACUCAUGGCAUAACAAAUUCAACCUUAUCCCAUUGAAAAAAUUAAAACUCAUACGUAUACCAAUUCACUCUCACAUGUAUUUCAUUUUUCACUCAUCACGAUUGCUAUAAAUAAUUCCCUUUACCAUCACUCUGAACAAAAGAAAAAACCCUAAAAUCUAAGCAUCUCAAGCAAUUUUUUCACCCUCUGCUAAUCACCCACCCUAAUCCCACUCAAAGCUCUCUCCUUAAAAAGUACUUAGAGCUUCACAUUGAAGCUCUAAAUAGUGAGCUAAAAAUCCUACAUUUCUCACUCGUAUAAGACAUACAGAGAAGCAAGGGAGUAGAAGAAGAGUCAAGAAGCAAAAAUAAUGAGCAAAAAAUCACUACACACUGGAAAUCGCACCGCCACGCCGGAGGUGGGGUAGCUUCGUCAGAGUUCGCUUUUGGUAGAUUCUCUUUGUUUUUUAUUUGCUUUUUGUUCGAUUUACCUUCCCAUAUGCUAAUUUUUACCAAAGCAUAUCUAAUUUGAUGAAUAUCUCAUGGAUUGAGGUUAUGACUUCUUGGGGGUUAAGGUUUCUAGAUUUGUGUGUUUGCUUUUGAUUUUGAUGUUUUUGGAUAUGGAUUUGUGUUUAAGAUGAAGUUUUAAGGGGUUGGGGUGUAUUGUUUCUUGAUUUUUAGUCAAAUUGAGGGUUUCUGGAUUUUGACCUCGAGAACAUUCAAAUGUUCUUGAGGUUUGUUCAUAAAGUUCUUAGAAAAAGUUGAGUUUUGAUCUGUUUUUGUUAAGAAAAGUUUAGGUUUGUGUGUUAGUAAGGAGAGAGAGUGAGCGAAAGGAAAAGGGAAGAGAGAGAAAAAUAGAUAGAAAAUGAGAGAGGUCCAAACAGAUUCUCACCUUUGUCCUCUCCCU